rnacentral:rRNA from 1 species
GUGUCAGCAGCCGCGGUAAUACAGAGGGUGCGAGCGUUGUCCGGAAUCACUGGGCGUAAAGGGCGCGUAGGCGGUUUUCCAAGCGUGCGGUGAAAGCCCGGGGCUCAACUCCGGGUCGGCCGUGCGGACUGGGGGACUGGAGUCCGGGAGAGGCCGAUGGAAUUCCGGGUGUAGCGGUGGAAUGCGUAGAGAUCCGGAAGAACACCAGUGGCGAAGGCGGUCGGCUGGGCCGGGCAGGGCAACCUGCAGGAGUGGCAACACUCUGACUGACGCUGAGGCGCGACAGCGUGGGGAGCAAACAGGAUUAGAAACCCCCGUAGUCC